rnacentral:tRNA from 4 species
GGCGGCAUAGCUCAGCUGGUUAGAGCGGCGGAAUCAUAAUCCGUAGGUCGUUGGUUCGAGCCCGACUGCCGCUA